GUUCUCAUGAGACCUAUAAGCCUUCUUAUCCUGAAUUAAGGGUAACGUGAAGUUGCAGGCUGCUAGAAGAGAUCCACAUUCCUCAGUUGUGCAGUGAGGUCAAAUAUCCUGUCUGGAACUGAUGACGUCAGGAGUCAAGCUUAAACUGACAGAUGCUUGAUCCAAGGAGAGAUGACCAUUAAAGGGACCACCAUGUUCUGGGCCAUCCUCAUACAGUGCCAAGUGUUCCUCAUGGAUCCGUGAUGUCUAUCAAAUACCUGAUCCACACGAUGAAAGCCUGAUACAGACACAACCAUGAUGUUUAAUCAACCAAAAACCAGCACAAUAACUUGUUAUACAGUUGCUGCACACAUUCUCCUGGGCCACAUACACAGAAAUAAAGUUGUUCUGAAACAA